rnacentral:rRNA from 1 species
GUGCCAGCAGCCGCGGUAAUACGUAGGUCCCGAGCGUUGUCCGGAUUUAUUGGGCGUAAAGCGAGCGCAGGUGGUUUAUUAAGUCUGAUGUAAAAGGCAGUGGCUCAACCAUUGUAUGCAUUGGAAACUGGUAGACUUGAGUGCAGGAGAGGAGAGUGGAAUUCCAUGUGUAGCGGUGAAAUGCGUAGAUAUAUGGAGGAACACCGGUGGCGAAAGCGGCUCUCUGGCCUGUAACUGACACUGAGGCUCGAAAGCGUGGGGAGCAAACCAGGAUUAGAUACCCUGGUAGUCC